UACGUAGGUGGCAAGCGUUGUUCGGAAUUAUUGGGCGUAAAGCGCGCGCAGGCGGUCCUUUAAGUCUGAUGUGAAAGCCCACGGCUCAACCGUGGAGGGGCAUUGGAAACUGGGGGACUUGAGUGCAGGAGAGAAGAGUGGAAUUCCACGUGUAGCGGUGAAAUGCGUAGAGAUCAGGAGGAACACCCGUGGCGAAGGCGGCCCUCUGGCUCGACCCUGACGCUGAGAGGCGAAAGCGUGGGGAGCGAACGGG
rnacentral:rRNA from 1 species